rnacentral:rRNA from 1 species
GACGAACCGUGCGAACGUUGUUCGGAAUCACUGGCUUAAAGGGCGCGUAGGCGGGCUCACAAGUCAGGGGUGAAAGCCCACGGCUCAACCGUGGAAGAGCCUUUGAUACUGUGGGUCUCGAGGGAGGUAGGGCGUGCGGAACUUCCGGUGGAGCGGUGAAUGCGUAGAUAUCGGAAGGAACAUCGGUGGCGAAAGCGGCGCGCUGGACCUCUUCUGACGCUGAGGCGCGAA